rnacentral:rRNA from 1 species
AGGCUGGGAGUGUGUUCGGUCCGGAGGCCCUUACUGGGGUUCGGGCGUUACACGCAAAGGUUUUUUUAGGUACGGAGGUUACAAAAAGGAACGAUUAAGGGGGGGUUUCAAGAAGGGGGUGGAACCCCCAACCCCCAAAAGAAAGGAAAGGGU